CUGAUUGAUCCUGCCAGUAGUCAUAUGCUUGUCUCAAAGAUUAAGCCAUGCGUGUCUUAACAAGGAUCACUUGGAGGGCAAGUCUGGUGCCAGCAGCCACGGUAAUUCCAGCUCCAAUAGCGUAUAUU
rnacentral:ncRNA from 1 species